UAGCCAGAUGAAUACCGGAUGGAUGCUGGGAGGCAGAUUUUUUUUUUCCUCCUCUAAAGCUAAUGUGUGUCUUAUGGUCCGGUGCGUCUUAUAGUGCGAAAAAUAUGGUGUUCUCAACACAACCCUGACUUGUAUUUAAAACAAAACUAGAAACAUUUCUGAACCAGAUGUUUGAUACAACACAGGGAAAACUUCCACCUAUACAACUCUUGUUUUGGAAGAACAAGAAACAGCUCAAUAGAGAAGAUCUAUAUGACCACAACAAAUAUAUCAUUACUAUGUAAAUAUCCUUUUUUAAGUGACAGAUAUCAAAAUGUAUUAUCAGAGUUGUUUCAGUUUAGUAUGCCUUAUACAGAUAUCCAGCAUCAAUUUGUACAUAAGGCAGUAGAGACAUACACACAAUAUAUAAACACAUACUGUUUUCAAGAACAA